CAGUCUUUGUCACUUUUUCCUCCAGGCUACCCUGUCUCCGUGCCCCAGUUCCUGCUCCUUCUCAUCUUGUUUUCGUCCCCCUCUUAUGGGUCCUUUAACAUAUGACAGCAUUUUAUUUAUUGUAUUUGUUAUCUUAUAGUAUGAACUCCACUGGGGCAAGCAUUUUAGCUCGUUUGGUUUAUGAUGUAUCUAAAGUGCAAAGAGCAAUGCCCGGUACAUGACAAACAUUACAUGCAGAUUAUUGAUUGAAAAGAAUUUGCUGAUUUAUUCAACAGGCACAAAUUGAAUAUUUGCUGUGCACUUGGCCUUAUGCUAGGUGCUGAGGUAAAAUGAUGAGGACAGUCAGAUGUGGCUUCUGCUGUCAGGCAGCUUAGAGCCUGAUGGCGAAUCAGAGGCAUUAACCCAAACCCCAGAACAAGCCUGGAGAAGCAGAUAUCAAUGUCUCCUGCUGCCGGACAUGGCUGUGUGGCCCAGUUUUGGACAAUGAGAGCCAGAAUGUUGAAAAUGUGUUUGGAGCACUCUAGACAAAAUUUCUGGUGGCAUUGAAAUAUUACCUGGAUCCCAGUUUAUAUCUUGUUCUUCAUGGGCUGGUCAGGUUCUCCUGAGAAAGUGUUUUAAGUGUUUAUCAAAAAGAGCCAAAGGCUGAGUAGCAACUAAAACCUGGCAUAUUGAAAACCAAAGGAAACUCAGGUAGGAAAUGUCAAGGUAUUGAUUGAGUCUUAAAAUAUGUGUGUAUGUUUUAUGUCUAAAUUUUGAAAAUAAUGUGAAGGAAAUGAAAACAAAAAUCUCCAAAAAACUAAAAAUCUGCUUCCUUUCCCUUCCCCUGUUAGUCAGGGUAAUUUUCACCUAAGUGUUAAAGAAUUCAAAAUACUAGCAAAUUUCUGAGUGUGCAAGAUAGGAACUGGAUUCUUAUUUUGU
ensembl:lncRNA